GCUCAGGAUGAACGCUAGCUACAGGCUUAACACAUGCAAGUCGAGGGGUAGCAGGGUAGCAAUACCGCUGACGACCGGCGCACGGGUGAGUAACACGUAUCCAACCUUCCCAUAACUCGGGGAUAGCCUUUCGAAAGAAAGAUUAAUACCCGAUAGUACUUAAGAAAGGCAUCUUUUUUAAGUUAAAGAUUUAUUGGUUAUGGAUGGGGAUGCGUUCCAUUAGAUAGUUGGUGAGGUAACGGCUCACCAAGUCUUCGAUGGAUAGGGGUUCUGAGAGGAAGGUCCCCCACAUUGGUACUGAGACACGGACCAAACUCCUACGGGAGGCAGCAGUGAGGAAUAUUGGUCAAUGGGCGAGAGCCUGAACCAGCCAAGU
rnacentral:rRNA from 1 species